rnacentral:lncRNA from 1 species
CUCAGGAAAUGCGAAGGGUUUGGGAAGCUCUGUGCCAGAAACCAUGGACAAAGACAAACAGGCAUUCAGCUCUGUGAAUAAAAGCAUUCUGCUGAUUUCUGCUGCCCUGUAUCCAGACGGAAGGAAUGGAUAAGAAAAUGGAGGUCACGAGCUGGAGAACUCCUUGCUCAAGUUGCAUAGCUAAUAAGGGACUUAGCUGGGAUUCCUGGCCAGCAGUGUGGCUCCAGGCCUGGUUUCUAACUUCCCCUUGUUGGCAACCACCUUCACAGAGGAAUGCAAGAGAAUAACUGGGAGAUGAAACAGGAAGCUCUAUGACACACUUGAUCGAAUAUGACAGACACUGAAAAUCACGACUCAUCCCCCUCCAGCACCUCUACCUGUUGCCCGCCGAUCACAGCCGGAAUGCAGCUGAAAGAUUCCCUGGGGCCUGGUUCCAACUGCCCACUGUGGACUCUGAGGCCUCUGCAUUUGCGGGUGGUCUGCCUGUGAUAUUUUGGUCAUGGGCUGGUCUGGUCGGUUUCCCAUUUGUCUGGCCAGUCUCUGUGUGUCUUAAUCCCUUGUCCUUCAUUAAAAGCAAAACU